rnacentral:rRNA from 1 species
UAAGGAAUAUUGGACAAUGGACGCAAGUCUGAUCCAGCCAUGCCGCGUGAAGGAUGAAUGCCCUCUGGGUUGUAAACUUCUUUUAUAGGGGAAGAAAGAUACUUUUUUUAAGGUAGCUGACGGUACCCUAUGAAUAAGCACCGGCUAACUCCGUGCCAGCAGCCGCGGUAAUACGGAGGGUGCAAGCGUUAUCCGGAUUUACUGGGUUUAAAGGGUGCGUAGGCGGGCAUGUAAGUCAGUGGUGAAAUACCGGAGCUUAACUUCGGAACUGCCAUUGAUACUAUAUGUCUUGAAUAUUGUGGAGGUAAGCGGAAUAUGUCAUGUAGCGGUGAAAUGCAUAGAUAUGACAUAGAACACCGAUUGCGGAGGCAGCUUGCUACGCAAAUAUUGACGCUGAGGCACGAAAGCGUGGGGAUCAAACA